rnacentral:rRNA from 3 species
UACAGAGGGUGCGAGCGUUGUCCGGAAUCACUGGGCGUAAAGGGCGCGUAGGCGGUGGCCUAAGCGUGCGGUGAAAGCCCGGGGCUCAACCCCGGGUCGGCCGUGCGAACUGGGUCACUCGAGCACACUAGAGGCGAGUGGAAUUCCGGGUGUAGCGGUGGAAUGCGUAGAGAUCCGGAAGAACACCAGUGGCGAAGGCGGCUCGCUGGGGUGUAGCUGACGCUGAGGCGCGACAGCGUGGGGAGCAAACAGG